rnacentral:rRNA from 1 species
UACAGAGGGUGCGAGCGUUGUUCGGAAUUACUGGGCGUAAAGCGCGCGCAGGCGGCCUUUUAAGUCUACCCGUGAAAUGCCGGAGCUCAACUCCGUGCACGCCGGGGGAUACUGGGAGGCUGGAGACAGGUAGAGGCAAGCGGAAUUCCGGGUGUAGCGGUGGAAUGCGUAGAUAUCAGGAGGAACACCAAUAGCGAAGGCAGCUCGCUGGGACGUUACUGACACUGAGGCGCGAAAGCGUGGGGAGCGAACAGG